rnacentral:rRNA from 1 species
UUUCUCUCCCGUGGCCCGUGAGAGGAGCCCUGGACUGGCGGCGGCGCCGCUGUACCAGGCGGACGGCGAGGAAUGGGGCUGGAUCACGCCGGCGGAAGACGGAUCCACUGCUGUCGACGUUGGGGUGACCUGCGCCGACGAGGUUCCUCGAUCCCGCCCACCACACGCCCGUCCUCCAGCAUCCUUUUUGCCUGGCCGCCGUCCUCGCCGUGGGAACCAUGACGGCCACCCACCACGGCGGGUCGCAGCUCACGGUCGGCACCAGAUCCGGUGACUCCAAGCACUUCCGCCACCAGCUGCCUCUGAUAAACGGCGAUUAUCCUCUCGAGAUUUGGGAGUGUUGAAAGAAAUCGGGGCUGCCAAUGUUCUCUAUUUUUUCUGAAUGUUUGCUCAGCUUGCAUUUGUGUUCAGUGUUAGAUUUGUGAAGGUGAAAUCUUGUUUUGUGAAAUAUGGAAGAGAUUUAUGGUUCAUAUAGAAUUGAUAAUUUCUGGAAUUCACUCAAGUGAAAGUGAAAUCUGGUUUUGUGUAAUAUGGAAGAGAAUUAUGGUUUAUACAUGUGAAAUAUGGC